UGUGCAUCAGCCGCCUAUUGGCUAAGAUCAAGCGUAGCAUUCUUUAUCAGUUUAAUAUCGAUACGCCCCCAUCUGGGACCAUAUAUAUUAAAUUGGAUUUUUGGAACAGGGAGAUGGAGAGGGGCUUUGUUCUCAUUCCCCGCAUCUAAUGUGAUCGACUCAGGUAUUGCAGUACCUAGAGCGGUAAAAAUUCU